rnacentral:rRNA from 1 species
GACGAACGCUGGCGGCGCGCUUAACACAUGCAAGUCGAACGGAAAGGCCUGCUUUCCCUUGUGGAUUGCGGGUACUCGAGUGGCGAACGGGUGAGUAACACGUGAGUGAUCUGCCCCCAACUUGGGUAUAAGCCUGGGAAACUGGGUCUAAUUCCCGAUAGGACUGCAGGGUGGUGCCUGUGGUGGAAAACGAUUUUCUAGUGGUUGGGGAUGAGCUCGCGGCCUAUCAGCUUGUUGGUGGGGUAAUGGCCUACCAAGGCGGCGACGGGUAGCCGGCCUGGGAGGGUGGACGGCCACAUUGGGACUGAGAUACGGCCCAGACGCCUACGGGAGGCAGCAGUGGGGAAUAAUGCACAAUGGGCGGAAGCCUGAUGCAGCGACGCCGCGUGGGGGAUGACGGCCUUCGGGUUGUAAACUCCUUUCGACCGCGAGGAAGCCACCUGGUUGGAAGGGUGGUGACGGUAGUGGUAGAAGAAGCACCGGCUAACUACGUG